rnacentral:rRNA from 1 species
AAUAUUGGACAAUGGGGGCAAACCUGAUCCAGCCAUGCCGCGUGUGAUGAAGGUCUUUNGAUCGUNANGCACUUUAAGUUGGGAGNCUGGGCUUUAGGUUAAUACCCUGAAGUUUUGACGUUACCUACAUAUUAUGCUCCGGCUAACUCUGUGCCAGCAGCCGCGGUAAUACAGAGGGUGCAAGCGUUAAUCGGAAUUACUGGGCGUAAAGCGCGCGUAGUUGGUUCAGUAAGAUGGGAGUGAAAUCCCCGGGCUUAAACUGGGAACUGCUUUCAUAACUGCUGAGCUAGAUUACGGUAGAGGGUAGUGGAAUUGCCUGUGUGGCGGUGAAAUGCGUAGUUAUAGGAAGGAUCACCAGUGGCGAAGGCGACUACCUGGACUGAUACUGACACUGAGGUGCGAAAGCGUGGGGAGCAAACA